AGGAAGUCAAACCUGUAGUAUAUGAAGAUGAGAACAGUUUCCCACUACGGAAAUCAAAGCAGCCAAGAGAGGAUAAAUACAAAAGUAGUGGUUAGAAUGAAAAUGUCUGAAGAGAGCGAUGACAUGCUUGAAGAUGCCAGUCAUUUUAACUUUGUGAGAUGAGAGACAUCAUUGCCUAGUAAUCUAGGAAGUCACCCAGGAACUCAGUAUUGAGGAAGCUUUGGCUAUAAGUAUACUUAUAAACAAAGACACCUACAGACUCAGAGCAAUAGCUACAAAGAAGAUCCACCAAGUCUGGAGCCUUUGACAGUGCAGUUAUUUCAGACACCAUUGGCUAUGCUGCGGGAUCAGCAUCAGCCUGACCUGAUUUUUGUGAAGAGUCCUAAGAAUCUAAAAUGCUUGCUUCUGGGAAAAGGAAUUCGAAUAGGUGGUUCCGGCGAGUCGAGCAGGUGGUUCCGGCGUGCUCGGCAGGUGCUUCCGGCGUGUCCGGAAGAUAGCAACUUCCUCUAAUGAAGCUAAACUAAAUGAAGAGAAAAUCAAAUACAAACUCCAUGGGCUUGAGAAAAAAAUACUGGGCUCACCAAGAACAUAGAAGGGAAGUGGAUAGGUGGACGGAGCAACACACUGAGGACCUGAACCACGAUGUGACGAUGUGACGACUAGACCUUCCCUUCCCACCAAUGGGGACAGUGGAACACAGACUUCUCCGUGAACAGAGACUUGGAAAAUUCCUUACAAAAUCUGAAAAAACAAAGGAUAAAUAAGCAUAACCACAUUGGGACCAUGCCACGCUUUCAUGCACAUGGGAGCACUGACAUAUCUUGAAGGUUCUCCUCGAUGGUAGCUGCUUCUCCUUGAGCCAGUCUUACUCGUCAACUCUCUUUUGGCUGAUCUGGAACCAGCUUGUUCUCCUGCAAUGAGGAUGGUAGGGAGUGUCAAACGAGUGAUGGAAUCCGUUCUGAUUCUAGUCAUUAAGUCACUAUCAUCUGGAAACAAACAUCAUGAAUACUUAUGAACUCUUUGUUCAUUUCCCUUGAUCCGUUUAUU
rnacentral:lncRNA from 1 species